rnacentral:rRNA from 1 species
CCUACGGGAGGCAGCAGUGAGGAAUAUUGGUCAAUGGGCGCGACCCUGAACCAGCCACGUAGCGUGAAGGAUGACUGCCCUCCGGGUUGUAAACUUCUUUUAUAAAGGAAUAAAGUGAGGCACGUGUGCCUUUUUGUAUGUACUUUAUGAAUAAGGAUCCGCUAAUUCCGUGCCAGCAGCCGCGGUAAUACGGAGGAUCCGAGCGUUAUCCGGAUUUAGUGGGUUUAAAGGGAGCGUAGAUGGGUUGUUAAGUCAGUUGUGAAAGGUUGUGGAUUAACCGUAAAAUUGCAUUUGAUACUGGGAGCCUUGAGUACGGUUGAGGUAGGUGGAAUUCGGGGUGUAGCGGUGAAAUGCUUAGAGAUCAAGAAGAACUCUGAUUGCGAAGGCAGCUUGCUAGACCGCCACUGACGUUGAUGCUCGAAAGUGUGGGGAGCAAACAGGAUUAGAUACCCGUGUAGUC